AAUUUGAAGAUAUCAGCGCAAGCACCCACAGCAUCUGGGUUAACCCAUUCUUCACAUAGAAAGGAUAACUCAGAAUUGAACCAAGAAAAUUUUGGGAUGAUGUCAGAAAAUACGAGUACAACACCAUCAAAUAACGCAUUUUCAACUAGAAUGCAACCUGGACCCACAAAUUCAGGUUCUCAAACUGGCAGUUAAAGUGAUCUCCAAUCAAAUUUGAAGAUAUCAGCGCAAGCACCCACAGCAUCUGGGUUAACCCAUUCUUCACAUAGGUAAGUAAAUAAUAUAAUCAACAUAUUAACUGUAAUGUUAGGUGCCAUGUCAUCAUGGCUCACCACACUGAAAUUAUCAGUAUGGUUCGCUCCAUCAUUUUGACAGGAACCCCUGCUCUUAUACUGUAAACAGGGAUACGCUAUUCAAAUGUAUAUAUAUAUUUUUGUAUUAACUUUUUUUUUAAAUCGUUGCUGAAGGUCCAAAGCACACAAGAUAAAACCCUGUGACACAAACUCUUGUAUCGUGAAAGGGCAGUGGGUGAGGCUCAGCUUCAGUGUGGUGGGCCCAUAAGAGCUUGAUGCCCCCCUGCAGAAAAGAAGGGAAGACUUCAAAGAUAUGUAUAAAACUGAGGAUAGUCCUUACUCAGUAGGUAUUUAGGAGUAAUAUUUGCACACAAUUUUCCACCAUUUACUUUGUGCCUCUAUUUUUGUUACAGAUAUUGUCUUAACCCCUUAACGAGCCAUGAUGUAAAUACACAUCAUGGGGUCCUUAAGAGAGUAUGGAGAGGGCUUGGGACUUGAGUCCGCUCCAUACCCAGCGGCACCUGGCUGUUUUCAACAGCAGAGGGCUGUUGUUAAUACCCGGAGCAGAGCAAUCUCCGCUGUUGGCUAUUAACCAUGUAGAUGCUGCUGUCAAUACUGACAGAGGCAUUUAAACUGCCCAUGGCAGUCCUGUGUGUCAAUCACCAGGCAGAGUGGCUUGAUGUCAGCGGAGAGAGGCGCUGCGGACCCCUGGUCACUCUGGCACUGGUCACGGGGAUGCUAUAAAACAUGUUUUGUUUUAUUGGAAAGUAUCAAACUGCGAAGUAUUCAAACAAAGGUAUACCUGGCAUAUGCUUGUUAACCCCUAAUACACAGUGUUGCCAGUAUAACCACUAUAGAUUAAAGGGGUAUUCUCAUCUUAAUGAUCACUGUUAAAUCCUUGGCGUGUGCGUUCAGUCCAGCGCGCGGCCCGGCCGGGAGAAGACUUCAAUCAAGAUGGAACCCGCCCCCUGCCGAGUGACGAAACCAGGAAGUGGACAGCGUGCCGGGAGCAGGAAAGUAUGAAACGGCGUGUUGAGAAUACCCCUUUAAGUGACAGAUACACUAGAAGUAUUAACUACAAUUGUUGUUCAUUUUGUUUACUACGAGUUGCAGUAAAAACAAAAGCUAAAAUUUGUAUCUUGUGUUUAUUUGUUUUCUUUAAAAGUUGCAGUAGGAGGUUAUUGUUUUAUUCAUUAUUUUUUCUGUUAUUUUUCAUAGGAAUGCACUAAAUAUAAUUUUUUAAUACUAAGUACAAGUACUUCAGGUGCUCGCCGAUAGCGAUACUAUCGGGUCAUGCCAUGUGACAAAGAGAAGAGGACUUACCUCUGGCACAGCCGGUAGAUGCUGGAAUUGGAGUAAUGCAGCAUACCCAGGCAGCUAGAACAUGUUGAAAUCUGAGUGAUUAUUUUUUUUUUUAAACCACAGAAAGCAGGACUUUUCUUCCCUGUUGUGGUUUUAGGUAUUGGGUAAAGUAUCGCAGCAUUUCUAAGCGUACUUGUGUAAAUGCAUCGUUGUUAUAUCUGCCCCCCCCUACUUUUGUCCUGGCCCCCACUGUGCCCCCCCCCCAAAAAAAAUGUGAAAGCUAGAGAUGCCACUGCGCAGUAUAUAUUAACUUUUUUAUGGCUUUAGAAGAGAUAAUAACAGAAAUUAGAUUGUCCUUUAAAUAUUUUUCGAAAGCCACACAAAUCUAUUUGAACAUGCUGUAUAGGGUAUUGCUGUAUAAGGUAUUUUGAAAAAGUGAGGUCGCUUUGGCAGAUGAAUACAUACAUUGGAUAUAUGGCAUAGUUAAUGUUAUAUAUAUAAUGUUAUAUGCAACUGAAGUGUUUACUUUUCACCUCUCAUAUAUUACAUUUUUUCCACUUAUCCAACUUGUGUUCAAACUUCCAUAAUGGAAAGAGACUUUGUGGUCAAUGCAUUUAUGUGUGAAUUAUUAGUUGGCGAUUGGCAGUUUCAAGGCUAGUGCCAACUGUGUAUGAAGGCUUUUCUCUGGCCGACUAGAAAUAACAAAUAUAUUGUCAGCAAAAAGCCUAAUUAUACAUAGGAAAUAGACUUGACGCAAUCAUGAGAGUCACUAAUCUACAACGUAACUGACACUGAAAUGGAGAUACACCGAGCUGUGUGAGGCUUGGCUGGAUGUCUACCCAGGAUACAUAAUUCCCUGGUGCUAAUCUGACAGCUUCAAACCAUUUAUUCCAUUACAAUAUGAACCAGCAAUGUAAUUAUAUAAAAUAUAUCAACACUUGUGCUUUUCAAUACUUUGCUUUUUUGUUUUGUUUCUGGCGAAGUGGUGCCAUAUGGAUGAAGAACCUAGAGAAUGCUUCAAACAUUUUAAUACAGUUGGUCUUCAUCAUUUCAAGUCAUACAGCUCCUACAAAGAGAUAGUGACCUUUUUACGGACCCAGCGGACAUCACGCCAAUGCCAGCGACACCCUGGAACCAGCUGGUUCUUUAAUUUAUUGCAAAGUCUACCCUAUGGUGGAUUUUAUUAGGGUGGCAUGACUUAUUAUACCUUUGGACUGCAGAUAUAAAGAUAGUUUGAAGACUGAACUGCAUAUGGUGAAAUGUUCUGGAAAGCAUCAUUUGUGGAAUUCAGUUGUGUCACCAAUCAUAUUAGGAGCAGACAUGUGGGGCUUUCCUGAAGGCAGGCUCCAUGGACAGACUUUGCUCAGCGCUUUUCUUCUUGCUUAGGACAAAAGAAGCCAAAUGCACUAAAACACACACUU